rnacentral:misc_RNA from 1 species
AAAAUAAGUUGCAAAAUCUUUAGCCCAGGUGAAGCUUUACAAAAAAAUGAGUAAAUGCAGAAGACUAAGAAUAUACACAAAAACAGAGAAGUCGUUAAUAGUGAAAGAGCAAAUCAUCAUUUACAGAUCAAUAUGCAAAACACAAGCAUUGACGAUGGAAGAUCAGAACCUGAAUAACAACAAUAUGUCCAAAAAAAAAAAAA